rnacentral:rRNA from 1 species
AACGAACGCUGGCGGCAUGCCUAACACAUGCAAGUCGAACGAGACCUUCGGGUCUAGUGGCGCACGGGUGCGUAACGCGUGGGAACCUGCCCUUAGGUUCGGAAUAACCCCCCGAAAGGGGUGCUAAUACCGGCUAAUGCUUUCGGACCAAAGAUUUAUCGCCUUUGGAUGGGCCCGCGUUGGAUUAGCUAGGUGGUAGGGUAAAAGCCCACCAAGGCGACGAUCCAGAGCUGGUCUGAGAGGAUGAUCAGCCACACGGGGACUGAGACACGGCCCAGACUCCUGCGAGAGGCAGCAGUGGGGACUAUUGGACUGUGGGCGAAAGCCUGGUCCAGCAGUGGCGCGUAAGUGAUGAAGGCCUGAGGGUUGUAAAGCUCUUUUACCCGGGAUGAUAAUGACGGUACCGGGAGAAUAAGCACCGGCUAACUCCGUG